UACGUAGGUGGCAAGCGUUGUCCGGAUUUAUUGGGUUUAAAGGGUGCGUAGGCGGUUUUGUAAGUCAGUGGUGAAAUAUGUCAGCUUAACUGAGAGGGUGCCAUUGAUACUGCAGAACUUGAGUACAGAUGAGGUAGGCGGAAUUGACGGUGUAGCGGUGAAAUGCUUAGAUAUCGUCAAGAACACCUAUAGCGAAGGCAGCUUACUAGGCUGUAACUGACGCUGAGGCACGAAAGUGUGGGGAUCAAACAGG
rnacentral:rRNA from 1 species